rnacentral:rRNA from 1 species
UACAGAGGGUGCAAGCGUUAAUCGGACUUACUGGGCGUAAAGGGUGCGUAGGUGGAGAAUUAAGUCGUGUGUGAAAAUCUUGGGCUUAACCUAAGACUUGCAGACGAUACUGAUUGUCUAGAGUAUGGUAGAGGGAAGUGGAAUUUCCGGUGUAGCGGUGAAAUGCGUAGAUAUCGGAAGGAACAUCAGUGGCGAAGGCGGCUUUCUGGACCAAUACUGACACUGAGGCACGAAAGCGUGGGGAGCAAACAGG